GGCAGCAGUGGGGAAUUUUGGACAAUGGGCGAAAGCCUGAUCCAGCAAUGCCGCGUGUGUGAAGAAGGCCUUCGGGUUGUAAAGCACUUUUGUCCGGAAAGAAAUGGCUCUGGUUAAUACCUGGGGUCGAUGACGGUACCGGAAGAAUAAGGACCGGCUAACUACGUGCCAGCAGCCGCGGUAAUACGUAGGGUCCAAGCGUUAAUCGGAAUUACUGGGCGUAAAGCGUGCGCAGGCGGUUGUGCAAGACCGAUGUGAAAUCCCCGAGCUUAACUUGGGAAUUGCAUUGGUGACUGCACGGCUAGAGUGUGUCAGAGGGGGGUAGAAUUCCACGUGUAGCAGUGAAAUGCGUAGAGAUGUGGAGGAAUACCGAUGGCGAAGGCAGCCCCCUGGGAUAACACUGACGCUCAUGCACGAAAGCGUGGGGAGCAAACAGGAUUAGAUACCCUGGUAGUCCACGCCCUAAACGAUGUCAACUAGUUGUUGGGGAUUCAUUUCCUUAGUAACGUAGCUAACGCG
rnacentral:rRNA from 1 species